GAUGAGGCGUGUUGCUGCUUCUAUCUAUAAGAAAGCUGGUAGGUGGAAGCAAUCUAUUGCUUUGUCAAAGAAAGAUAAUCUCUACAAAGAUGCUAUGGAGACAGCCUCACAAUCUGGAGAUCGCGAACUUGCGGAGGAGUUGCUUGUUUACUUCAUCGAACAGGGAAAGAAAGAAUGCUUUGCAUCAUGCCUCUUUGUUUGU
rnacentral:misc_RNA from 1 species